rnacentral:rRNA from 1 species
GGUCUGUCCACCCGCCUAAAAAGCGGGUGUUAGCAAGGGCCGGGCAAGACCGGUGCCAGCCGCCGCGGUAAUACCGGCGGCUCGAGUGGUGGCCGAUAUUAUUGAGUCUAAAGGGUCCGUAGCCGGCUUUGCAAGUCUCUCGGGAAAUCCAGCGGCUUAACCGUUGGGCUGUCGGGGGGUACUACAUUGCUUGGGACUGGGAGAGGUAGGAGGUACUCAGGGGGUAGGAGUGAAAUCCUGUAAUCCUUUGGGGACCACCGGUGGCGAAGGCGUCCUACCAGAACAGGUCCGACGGUGAGGGACGAAAGCUAGGGGCACGAACCGGAUUAGAUACCCGGGUAGUCCUAGCCGUAAACGAUGCUCGCUAGGUGUCACAACAGUCGUGAACUGUUGUGGUGCCGUAGGGAAGCCGUGAAGCGAGCCACUUGGGAAGUACGACCGCAAGGUUGAA